GGUUCAGGACGAACGCUGGCGGCGUGCCUAAUACAUGCAAGUCGAACGGCUUUUCUAUGGAAGCUUGCUUCCACUGAGAAGAUAGUGGCGAACGGGUGAGUAACACGUGGGUAACCUGCCCAUAAGAGGGGGAUAACAUCCGGAAACGGGUGCUAAUACCGCAUAGUUUUCUUGAUCGCAUGAUUGAGAAAGGAAAGACGGCCUUUGUGCUGUCGCUUAUGGAUGGACCCGCGGCGUAUUAGUUAGUUGGUGAGGUAACGGCUCACCAAGACGAUGAUACGUAGCCGACCUGAGAGGGUGAUCGGCCACAUUGGGACUGAGACACGGCCCAAACUCCUACGGGAGGCAGCAGUAGGGAAUCUUCCGCAAUGGACGAAAGUCUGACGGAGCAACGCCGCGUGAGUGAAGAAAAGGUUUUCGGAUCGUAAAACUCUGUUGUCAGAGAAGAACAAGUUGGAGAGUAACUGCUCCAGCCUUGACGGUAUCUGACCAGAAAGCCACGGCUAACUACGUGCCAGCAGCCGC
rnacentral:rRNA from 1 species